rnacentral:misc_RNA from 1 species
UAAGGAUGAUCUUCAGCGAGCUCACGCUCACUAUCGGAUCGUUUUAGAAACAUCAGUGGCCAACAGAUCGCCAGAUCGUUGAUCUGCAUUGGCGGGAUUUCGCCGUCUUCGUUUCUCUUUCUUCGCGGACGAACACGCGCUGGGCCUGCAACGGCAGGAUCCAGGGUCCUUAACGGGAUGUGCGUUAGGGGCUUGUAGCUCAGUUGGUUAGAGCGCGCGCUUGAUAAGCGUGAGGUCGGAAGUUCAAGUCUUCCCAGGCCCACCACUUUCAUCGAGUGAGCAUUCGUCUUCUGGUUACGGGGCCAUAGCUCAGCUGGGAGAGCGCGUGCUUUGCAAGCAUGAGGUCGUCGGUUCGAUCCCGUCUGGCUCCACCAGAUGGUUUGAUCACCGAGAUCUUGACCGUCGUCCGCGAAACAUCACUUCGCAUCCUGCUAGUCUGGAUAGACAGCAGUUUGCGUGUUUUCUGACAUCGUAAAGAGGAGAUCGAUCCGAGUUGGGUCGUGCAGCAUAUCGUUGCGCGAGCCUUCAUUAUCUCCGGAUCAUUUCGGCGCUCGCUUCCAGCCGUGAGGUUGGAUGCGGGUUGUAAAUGAUCCUUUUAGCGAAGCUUGACCGCCUCGCUAUCGGAACGAUCUUACGAAGCAAGCUGGUCUUUCUAGUCAAUGUCCGGCUGCGGAUAGCGUUCAUCGAGGGCGCGUGCCGCAAGGCAAUUCUGCAGACAACAUUCUGCCGAGUGUGUGGACAUUGAUAAUGAGAGCAAUCAAGUGCCUUAAGGGUGUUCGGUGGAUGCCUUGGCGCUGAGAGGCGAUGAAGGACGUGCUACGCUGCGAUAAGCCGUGGGGAGCUGCGAAGAAGCUUUGAUCCGCGGA